rnacentral:rRNA from 1 species
GGUUGAUCCUGCCGGAGGACAUUGCUAUUGGGAUUCGAUUUAGCCAUGCUAGUCGGACGAGUUUAGACUCGUGGCAGAUAGCUCAGUAACACGUGGCCAAGCUACCCUUCAGUCGGCAAUACCCUCGGGAAACUGAGGUUAACGGCCGAUGUGGGACGCCUGCUGGAAUGCGGCGUUCUCUAAAGGCGACGCUGAAGGAUGCGGCUGCGGCCGAUUAGGUUGACGGUGGGGUAACGGCCCACCGUGCCAGUAAUCGGUACGGGUGAUGAGAGUCAGAGCCCGGAGACGGAAUCUGAGACAAGAUUCCGGGCCCUACGGGGCGCAGCAGGCGCGAAACCUUUACACUGCACGGAAGUGCGAUAGGGGAAUCCCAAGUGCGAGGGCAUAUUCGCCCUCGCUUUUGUUGACCGUAAGGUGGUCAACGAAUAAGAGCUGGGCAAGACCGGUGCCAGCCGCCGCGGUAAUACCGGCAGCUCGAGUGAUGUCCAAUAUUAUUGGGCCUAAAGCGUCCGUAGCUGGCCGCGCAAGUCCGUCGGGAAAUCCACCUGCCCAACAGGUGGGCGUCCGGCGGAAACUGUGUGGCUUGGAACCGGAAGGCUCAGAGGGUACGUCCGGGGUAGGAGUGAAAUCCCGUAAUCCCGGACGGACCACCGAUGGCGAAAGCACUCUGAGAAGACGGCUUCGACAGUGAGGGACGAAAGCUAGGGUCUCAAACCGGAUUAGAUACCCGGGUAGUCCUAGCUGUAAACGAUGCUCGUUAGGUGUGGCACCCACUACGAGUGGGUGCUGUGCCGCAGGGAAGCCGCUAAACGAGCCGCCUGGGAAGUACGUCCGCAAGGAUGAAACUUAAAGGAAUUGGCGGGGGAGCACUACAACCGGAGGAGCCUGCGGUUUAAUUGGACUCAACGCCGGAAAUCUCACCAGCCCCGACAUCAGUAAUGACGGUCAUGUUGACG